rnacentral:rRNA from 1 species
UACGUAGGGCGCAAGCGUUAUCCGGAAUUAUUGGGCGUAAAGAGCUCGUAGGCGGUUUGUCGCGUCUGCCGUGAAAGUCCGGGGCUCAACUCCGGAUCUGCGGUGGGUACGGGCAGACUGGAGUACGUGCAGGGGAGACUGGAAUUCCUGGUGUAGCGGUGGAAUGCGCAGAUAUCAGGAGGAACACCGGUGGGCGAAGGCGGUUCUCUGGGCCUGUACUGACGCUGGAGGAGCG